rnacentral:rRNA from 1 species
UUGGAGGGCAAGUCUGGUGCCAGCAGCCGCGGUAAUUCCAGCUCCAAUAGCGUAUAUUAAAGUUGUUGCAGUUAGAAAGCUCGUAGUUGAAUUUCGGGGUCAGUAGGUUGGUCGUGCCUAUGGUAUGUACUGGCUUUACUGAUUCCUCCUUCUUGAAGAACUGUAAUGUCAUUAAUUUGGUGUUGCAGGGAAACAGGACUGUUACUUUGAAAAAAUUAGAGUGUUUAAAGCAGGCUAACGCUUGAAUACAUUAGCAUGGAAUAAUGAAAUAGGACGUUCGAUCCUAUUUUGUUGGUUUCUAGGAUUGACGUAAUGAUUAAUAGGGAUAGUUGGGGGCAUUAGUAUUCAAUUGUCAGAGGUGAAAUUCUUGGAUUUAUUGAAGACUAACUACUGCGAAAGCAUUUGCCAAGGAUGUUUUCAUUAAUCAAGAACGAAAGUUAGGGGAUCGAAGACGAUCAGAUACCGUCGUAGUCUUAACCAUAAACUAUGCCGACUAGGGAUCGGAUGAUGUUAAUUUUUUAAUGACUCAUUCGGCGCCUUACGGGAAAC